CUGGCGCCGAAUCAAGGCCGGCAGCUUCCUGACACUGUUGGUUUCAAGCAGGAGCCUAAAGAGGUGUCUUUCUAUGGUGUGUUGGCCAUUUCAGAACUUGGGCAGUGAAACGGUCAAUUCAUUAGAAAGAAACAGCU
rnacentral:snoRNA from 1 species